AGUCAAACAGCUUAAGAAAGCAAGUACCUUGAAAGUACAAGAAAGAGAUUAAAUCCUCUAUUGACUU
rnacentral:tRNA from 1 species